GCACUUCUGGAAAAUUGCUAAACAAGGGUGCAAAGGAGAGAAAAAGAAGUUCUUUGCUGUCAAUUGAAGGCCAAUAUCUGAGCACAUUUCAAAUUUCCAUUUCACAGGUUACUCCAUUAGCUUAUAAAUAUCACAAGAUGCGCAUUAGAGACUCUCAAGCUUUCGGUUCCUACAACUAUUAGCCAUUGCAAUCAAAGACUUCCCCAGAAAACGUGGCGAAGAUGAAGUGGGGAAUGGACUCUUCAGGGAAUGGCUUCAACAGCUUUUUUAAUCUGCAGUCAAAGAAGAAUAGUUGUCGGAGUCUUUCAAGGUCAAUCGGCAAGGAAAAAGAUUCAAGAGAAGGUGAGUAUGCAACUGCAGUGUUAGCAGCUGCAUGUGCCAUACAAUCAAUUCAAGAAUCCAAAACAAUUCAGAAUAAAAAUGGGCUGCAGCCACAUUCGAAUUGAGCAAUCAGGCGACCUUCCUCCUACAACGCAAAAAUUCCUGGUGAAACUUCAAUGAGAAAGCCAAAGUUGGCACUGGAGACACUUAAUCCACCUCGAACUCCGAGUCGCUCAUCCUCGAAUGCUCUGCAGAAAAAUGAGAAGCAUGAGAAGCUAAAACCAAUCCUGGCCUGGGCAAAUGAGAAGAUGGAGAAAGCCAAGAAUAAAAUUGAAAAAACAAAGAGCAUAUUGGGCCUGAAGUAUUCAAAAUAGCCUGCAACAUAGCAAACCAUGGAGAAUAUCUGCAAAGAUUAUGAAGAUACUGAUUCCUUGAUGAAAAAUAUCACUAAAUUAUAGAACAACAAUAUGAGUUUGUACUUUUGAUUUGUUUUAAUAAAGUUUACAGAUGGUGAAGCUGCAUAAUUGUUAGAUUUUCUGGGUUUUAAGUGCUUAAAUUUUGGACAGGUUAUAUAAGCAAGAACUAAACAGCAGCUAGCUUUGAAGAAGCAGAACACUUUUUUCGGAAGAGAGCAGCAGAGCAAAAAGGUGCCUGAAAAUAUGGAUCAUCAUCCAUUUACAAUAAGCUGCAACUACUACCAACAGCUUUUCUGACUUAGAUACAAGCAAAAAGACACAAACAUCCUCAAUAAACUAACACUCCUCCUUUGAGGUGUUUGCUGUAACUCCAAGUCUUGAUCUCAAGUGUUCAAACAUAGGCUUAGGAAGAGCCUUAGUAAAUAUAUCAGCCACUUGAUCCUUAGAGUUGCAGUACUUAAGGCUGAUUUCUCCUGAUUUUUCUGCUUCCCGAAUUGCAUGAAAUUU